GACGAACGCUGGCGGCGUGCUUAACACAUGCAAGUCGAACGGAAAGGCCCUGCUUUUGUGGGGUGCUCGAGUGGCGAACGGGUGAGUAAAACGUGAGUAACCUGCCCUUGACUUUGGGAUAACUUCAGGAAACUGGGGCUAAUACCGGAUAGGAGCUCCUGCUGCAUGGUGGGGGUUGGAAAGUUUCGGCGGUUGGGGAUGGACUCGCGGCUUAUCAGCUUGUUGGUGGGGUAGUGGCUUACCAAGGCUUUGACGGGUAGCCGGCCUGAGAGGGUGACCGGCCACAUUGGGACUGAGAUACGGCCCAGACGCCUACGGGAGGCAGCAGUGGGGAAUAUUGCACAAUGGGCGGAAGCCUGAUGCAGCAACGCCGCGUGCGGGAUGACGGCCUUCGGGGUGUAAACCGCUGUCGCCGGUGACGAAGCGGGAGUGACGGUAAUGGGUAAAGAAGCACCGGCUAACUACGUG
rnacentral:rRNA from 1 species